CUCCAGAUGAUUUCUAACAGCCUACUGGGGUUUCUUCACCAAAGUUUGAAUCUCUGGAGAAUACUCGCUUAAGAUUUGAACACAUGAACACUAAAGUGACAGAAGAAGGAGGUGUGGAUGGACUAAGUGGCACUGCCGGAGGGCAGUGGCCUGAAGAGGAUGCUGCUGAGCGGGGAGCAAUGACACACCAACCAAGGGUGAGAUGACAGAUGGGACACCACCAGGAGGGGGUGCUCCACUGGACUGAGCUAAUUCCCAGACAUGACCAGCAGGAGGUGCCAGGUGAUCACACAAUUGCUGGCUGACACUAUCCACACCAAUGGUAGAAACUGACAUAGAU